rnacentral:rRNA from 1 species
UACGUAGGGUGCGAGCGUUGCCCGGAUUUAUUGGGCGUAAAGCGUGCGUAGACGGUUAUUUAAGUCGGGUGUGAAAGCCCCGGGCUCAACCUGGGAAUUGCAUUCGAGACUGAAUAGCUAGGGUACGGUAGAGGGAAGCGGAAUUUCCGGUGUAGCGGUGAAAUGCGUAGAUAUCGGAAGGAACAUCAGUGGCGAAAGCGGCUUCCUGGACCAGUACCGACGUCAGGCACGAAAGCGUGGGGAGCGAACAGG